rnacentral:lncRNA from 10 species
CUCACCUUUCAGAAUAUAAAGAAAAAGCAAUCACAUUCCAACACUUCUGAAAAAGGAGAUGAUUUUUUCUUGAAACCACAUUAAGAGUAUGUCCUUCAAAAACAUAGCAAUAUAACAAGAAAAUGGCCAUCUUCCAAGCAUAAGUUAAGGAUAAAGUAACUUGAGGCUGGUUCGUGAUUAAGAUGACCAAGAUCUGAAAAAACAACAGGGAGUCAAAAGGAAAAGACUUUGUUUGGCAUUUCUUAUCUAAUUCAUUUUGUUUUACUUGAAGACUCAGACACAAUCAAUUCUGGAGGCUAGGAAGCCUAAGAUGAAACCUCCAGCAGAGUCAGUGUCUGAUGAAGACCAGAUCUCUGGUUUGUAGGUGGGACCUUCUGACGGUGUUUUCACAUGGUGGAAGGGGUAAGGCAGCUCUCUGUGACCUCUCUGGUAAGGGCAUUAACCUCAUUCAUGAGGUCUCUGCCAUCAUGAUCUAAUCACUUCUCAAAAGACCUGCCUCCUACAGUGGUAAUUAUGUUUUAACAUGUAAAUUCUGGGGGAACAAAAAUAUUCAGGUUAUAGCAACAGGAAAUUAAAAAAUUUGCAGUUAGGAAAUGGACUCUGUUCAUUUAGCUUCUUUAAUAAAGUAUAGUAAUUUGCAAGUCCAAGUAUAAAAUGCAUUAAAAUUGGCCUGGUAGCACUAUAGUGCUUUCUUUUGUAGUUGUAGAGAAUAUUUUUGAAAGUAUUAACAAAUAGGUCGGGAAAAUAUUAAAUAUAUAGUAAUAAUAUCUAUAUUUUUUAAAAAUUACAUAUUAGAUUUUUAGUAAAGGAAUACAUAUACUUUCUGAAUAUUGGCAAAUACAGGCAAGGAAUGCUUUAACUUUCAUUUAAACACUGAAAACAAGGAAAACAAAGGGGAAAUAAUAGAAAUUAAUAAUCUUGAAGAUUAUCAAUGAAAAAUAUAUCAUUACUUAAAUUUAUGACAGAUUUACUGUUUUAUUAGCUAAGUGUGCUUAGACCGUAAAUAAACAUAUUAAAAUUAAAAGUUACUUAUUACAUUUUAAAAUUCCAGUUUUAAAUGUAUUGAUCUAUCAAAAUUUAUCCUGUUAUUUGAAAAUCUACUAGCAUGUUUUGGUUAUGGGACUUGCACUUUUGAUCAGUGCUACAAGAUUUGGAGAUUUAAUAUUUUAAAAUGAUUAAAUCAUAUCUAAGCAUAUUUAAGCAUGUUUAAUUAUAUUUAAAAAUACUUUAAUGCCAUUUCAAAUGUUUCUUUAAAAUAUAUGCCAAGUAGAAUUUUUUAAUGCAAAGAUACCCUUGAGGUUUUAAAACUUUAUUAGCAAUUUUACUCAACAUGCUUUUAUUAUCAACUUGGUUCUACUAGAAAGUCUGAUAUUUCUAUAUUUUCCUAUAAUUCAUUUGCAACUUUUUAAAAAUAUCUGAAAGUAAACUGAAUAGUAGCUUAAUAUAACCUUAUUACUUAGUUUUAUAGGCUCUACUGUAUUCUCCAAAAUUUAUAUGCUGAAAUCCUAAUCCUUAGUACCUCAGAAUGUAACACUUUUUGGAGACAGACUCUUUAAAGAGGUAAGUAAAUUAAGCAAGGCCAUUAAGGUGAGCCCUAAUUUAAUGACUUGUAUUCUUAUGAAAAAAGAAAUUUGGACGCAAACAUACACAGAAGGAAGAUGAUGUGAAGACCCAGAGAGAAGACAGCCAUCUACAAGCCAAGGAGACAGACCUGGAGCAGGUUCGUCCCUUACAUCCUUGUUUGUCCAUGCCUAGGCUUCCAGUGACCAGAAAUGUAAGAAAAUAAAUAUCUGUUGUUGAAGCCACCCCAUCUGUAGUACAUUGUUACAUCAGCCCUAGCAAAUGAAUGCACCUGGAAUUUAUAGCAACCAUAAUAAUCAAGGGCAGUGGCACCUAGCAACUUGCAUGCAUACAUUUUAGUAGUUUAUGAAUAAAUUAAUCUCUAUCUUAUGAUUGUUCAUCACAGAUGUCUUAUAAUGCACAACUUACUUAUCCUUUCACAAGUAGCAGAAACAGAAGAAUUGACUAUAGAUUUUGAGUGCAUUGCAUAUGAAUAUGUGGUAUUGCUAAAAAUAUUACAGAACAUAAACAAGGAGUUCCACAUCCAGCAUGGGAGUGUUAGAUCCUAUGAUGACACCUGCCCCAGUGAAAUCAGUAAAUAUUACUUAAAAUAGUGACCACUUAAACUUUCUGAAAAUGGCCCUAAGGGCAUACAGCAAGUGAAAAAAACAUUUAUUCAAGAAAAUAUGCAAACAGUUGUUAAGAAAUGCAAAACUCUGUGUUAUUUCAACCAAAAACCCACAGCAUCCCUUCAACUUCCCAGGUCAUUGAGAGAGAAACUCCAUAUCAUCUGCUACAGCCAAAGCAACAGGGUACACUCUCCACCCAAAUCCCAGUCAGAGGAUAAUCUUCCUGAGAGGGACAGUUAUAUAGGAGUUAAUAAGAAAUUACUGGCCAGGUGCAGUGGCUUAUGCCUGUAGUCCCAGCACUUUGGGAGGCUGAGGCAGGCAGAUCAUUAGGUCAAGAGAUCAAGACCAUUCUGGCCAACAUGGUGAAACCCCAUCUCUGCUGAAAAUAC